rnacentral:rRNA from 1 species
UGCAAGUCGAACGAUGAACCACUUCGGUGGGGAUUAGUGGCGAACGGGUGAGUAACACGUGGGCAAUCUGCCCUUCACUCUGGGACAAGCCCUGGAAACGGGGUCUAAUACCGGAUAUCACUCCCGCAGGCAUCUGUGGGGGUUGAAAGCUCCGGCGGUGAAGGAUGAGCCCGCGGCCUAUCAGCUUGUUGGUGAGGUAACGGCUCACCAAGGCGACGACGGGUAGCCGGCCUGAGAGGGCGACCGGCCACACUGGGACUGAGACACGGCCCAGACUCCUACGGGAGGCAGCAGUGGGGAAUAUUGCACAAUGGGCGAAAGCCUGAUGCAGCGACGCCGCGUGAGGGAUGACGGCCUUCGGGUUGUAAACCUCUUUCAGCAGGGAAGAAGCGCAAGUGACGGUACCUGCAGAAGAAGCGCCGGCUAACUACGUGCCAGCAGCCGCGGUAAUACGUAGGGCGCAAGCGUUGUCCGGAAUUAUUGGGCGUAAAGAGCUCGUAGGCGGCUUGUCACGUCGGGUGUGAAAGCCCGGGGCUUAACCCCGGGUCUGCAUUCGAUACGGGCUAGCUAGAGUGUGGUAGGGGAGAUCGGAAUUCCUGGUGUAGCGGUGAAAUGCGCAGAUAUCAGGAGGAACACCGGUGGCGAAGGCGGAUCUCUGGGCCAUUACUGACGCUGAGGAGCGAAAGCGUGGGGAGCGAACAGGAUUAGAUACCCUGGUAGUCCACG